ACUCCUACGGGAGGCAGCAGUGGGGAAUAUUGGACAAUGGGCGCAAGCCUGCUCCAGCAAUGCCGCGUGAGUGAUGAAGGCCCUCGGGUUGUAAAGCUCUUUCACCGGUGAAGAUAAUGACGGUAACCGGAGAAGAAGCCCCGGCUAACUUCGUGCCAGCAGCCGCGGUAAUACGAAGGGGGCUAGCGUUGUUCGGAUUUACUGGGCGUAAAGCGCACGUAGGCGGACUAUUAAGUCAGGGGUGAAAUCCCGGGGCUCAACCCCGGAACUGCCUUUGAUACUGGUAGUCGUGAGUUCGAGAGAGGUGGGUGGAAUUCCGGGUGUAGAGGUGAAAUGCGUAGAUAUUCGGAGGAACACCAGUGGCGAAGGCGGCUCACUGGCUCGAUACUGACGCUGAGGUGCGAAAGCGGGGGGAGCAAACAGGAUUAGAUACCCUUGUAGUCCC
rnacentral:rRNA from 1 species